ACGCGCGGAACCUUACCAGCCCUUGACAUGUCCAGGACCGGUCGCAGAGAUGUGACCCUCUCUUCGGAGCCUGGAACACAGGUGCUGCAUGGCUGUCGUCAGCUCGUGUCGUGAGAUGUUGGGUUAAGUCCCCGCAACGAGCGCAACCCCCCGGUCCUUAGUUGCUACCAUUUAGUUGAGCACUCUAAGGAGACUGCCGGUGAUAAGCCGCGAGGAAGGUGGGGAUGACGUCAAGUCCUCAUGGCCCUUA
rnacentral:rRNA from 1 species